rnacentral:lncRNA from 1 species
CCCGUUCCCUGAAUUGCAGUAAUUCCUCCUUGACAGGAUUGAUGGGGUGAAGUUCACUCAAUGUAGCCCCUGCCUCAGGAGAAUACAAGCAGCAUAAUAUCAGUCCUCAACCCUCUGAAAGUCUCAACAGCCCAAGACAAUGUUGGACACUUCCUUCUUCAAACUCAAUCUUCCAGGAUGGGUUUAAACACAUGUUGAUGCCACUCAAAUUGAAAUUUCCAGCCUCACCCUUCCUGAAGAGCUCCAGGCUCUGAGAAUUGUCUGGAAACUCCAUGGAACAAGGCCUCAUCUGUUUCACCCUUUACCGCACCUCCAGCACCUAGAACAAUGCCAACACGUGGUAGGAGAUCAACAAGUAUUCGUUGAAUGAAUAAACUUUACAUUUCUAUAAUUCUCUUCCAAAAAACAGUUUAUUUUUAAAAAGCUCAACAUUCAAAUACCAACUAAGUAAAGAGACCUAUUAAAGAUGCAAUUAUUUAAAUUACAAGGUGGACUCAUUGAUGUAGGA